rnacentral:rRNA from 1 species
AUUGAACGCUAGCGGGAUGCUUUACACAUGCAAGUCGAACGGCAGCGCGGACUUCGGUCUGGCGGCGAGUGGCGAACGGGUGAGUAAUGUAUCGGAACGUGCCCAGUAGCGGGGGAUAACUACGCGAAAGCGUAGCUAAUACCGCAUACGCCCUACGGGGGAAAGCAGGGGAUCGUAAGACCUUGCACUAUUGGGGCGGCCGAUAUCGGAUUAGCUAGUUGGUGAGGUAACGGCUCACCAAGGCGACGAUCCGUAGCUGGUUUGAGAGGACGACCAGCCACACUGGGACUGAGACACGGCCCAGACUCCUACGGGAGGCAGCAGUGGGGAAUUUUGGACAAAGGGGGCAACCCUGAUCCAGCCAUCCCGCGUGUGCGAUGAAGGCCUUCGGGUUGUAAAGCACUUUUGGCAGGAAAGAAACGUCGCGGGCUAAUACCCCGUGGAACUGACGGUACCUGCAGAAUAAGCACCGGCUAACUACGUG